rnacentral:rRNA from 1 species
GAUGAACGCUGGCGGCGUGCCUAAUACAUGCAAGCCGAGCGAAUGGAUUAAGAGCUUGCUCUUAUGAAGUUAGCGGCGGACGGGUGAGUAACACGUGGGUAACCUGCCCAUAAGACUGGGAUAACUCCGGGAAACCGGGGCUAAUACCGGAUAACAUUUUGAACCGCAUGGUUCGAAAUUGAAAGGCGGCUUCGGCUGUCACUUAUGGAUGGACCCGCGUCGCAUUAGCUAGUUGGUGAGGUAACGGCUCACCAAGGCAACGAUGCGUAGCCGAACUGGGAGGGUGAUCGGCCACACUGGGACUGAGACACGGCCCAGACUCCUACGGGAGGUAGCAGUAGGGAAUCUUCCGCAAUGGACGAAAGUCUGACGGAGCAACGCCGCGUGAGUGAUGAAGGCUUUCGGGUCGUAAAACUCUGUUGUUAGGGAAGAACAAGUGCUAGUUGAAUAAGCUGGCACCUUGACGGUACCUAACCAGAAAGCCACGGCUAACUACGUGCCAGCCGCCGCCGUAA